rnacentral:rRNA from 1 species
GACGAACGCUGGCGGCGUGCUUAACACAUGCAAGUCGAACGGAGCACCCCUGAAGGAGUUUUCGGACAACGGAUGGGAAUGCUUAGUGGCGGACUGGUGAGUAACGCGUGAGGAACCUGCCUUCCAGAGGGGGACAACAGUUGGAAACGACUGCUAAUACCGCAUGAUGCGUUGGAGCCGCAUGACUCCGACGCCAAAGAUUUAUCGCUGGAAGAUGGCCUCGCGUCUGAUUAGCUGGUUGGUGAGGUAACGGCCCACCAAGGCGACGAUCAGUAGCCGGACUGAGAGGUUGGCCGGCCACAUUGGGACUGAGAUACGGCCCAG